ensembl:lncRNA
GGGCUACUUCUGUUCUGUGAGCAUACGUAAGCUCCACCUGGAAAGCCCUUGAGGGCAUGUUGGGCUGUGUGGUGUUAUGUUAUGUCUGCUGCUGCCAUGUGGGAACCAAAAAAGGUUGAGUCUGCUUCUUGGGUGCACUUUGAUAAUUUAAAAGGUCUGGAUAUGUCCCAGGGCCAGAGUCUGCCCACCCAUGCCUUAUGCCACAGCCUCCUUCCUCCAGGAGCACGCCUGUUUCUCUGUGUGUGAGGAGGUGUCUGCUGUAGUAAGGGGUGUUGCUGCUGCUGCCUUGAAUAUGGAGGGCGCCAAAUGGACCACAUUCUCCUUCCCUAAUGUAGAAGGACAGUGAGCAGUCACUACUCUGUAUACUGAAGUACCUUUCUUCUUUUCCAGCUAAUUUAGUGAAAGAGUGCUAUCC